AUCACCCAUCUUGAGUCGCCAGAUAUCACACUACAUAAAUCAAAUACAACUUAAUUAAUGCAACUGUCGUGCAAAAUACGACAAAACAUAGCUGAGAGUUUAAACACGAAUAUUGCCUUCUAAACAAUAUCCACUCUCAAUGGAGUCCUCAUUAUAAUUAUUAUCACACUAUUUUAUAAAAAUUAUAAAAUAGUGAGGACUACUAUAGCCACCAUCUCGGACCGUCAAUCCUUUCCCCGACUCGUCCCAGCUAUAUUCUCAUUUCCUGAAGAGAACAGUGAAAGAAAAGGGUGAGCUCAACUAGCCCAGUAAGAAGUAUUAUGACUAAGAUAAUGCAGAAUAAAUUAUCCUUAGCCUUCAACAGUGUUAAACUGAUAAAAUACAAUAAACAUCAAGUUUAACUACAGCGGAAUAAGCAAUCCAUUAGAAGAGUCAAGUAAAACAUAAUGUCUACUAUCUCCUCUAGAUUAAAAGUCCAUCGUUAAUAUUUCAUUCAUGUAAUACUCAUCAACAGUCCUUUGUUAUACCCAAGACAAAAAGAACUAUCAUCAUAUGUCUUCACCUGAACCACCAAAGAUUAUAAUUAAAUCCACAAUUCAUUUUUAUAAUCAUGUAAAUCAACAGUUUCUCCUUGCCACAAAGG
rnacentral:lncRNA from 1 species